AAAAAGCAAUACCGCCGCGGCAGCGAGAGCGCGAGAGAGAGCUUGGCAGGAAAUAGCUGAACAAGUCAAUGCCAAAUCGAAAAAAUGCAGAGGCCCGGCAGACUGGAGGGGGUCCACCACCUGCAGCCCUCACAGAGGCUGAGGAGAUGGCCCUCAGCCAACAGAGUAUGCGUCCUGUGGCUGAGGGCAUCCCUGGGGGGAGCUCCUCUGAUCCCCCUACCCCCCAGGAUAGAAGUGCCUUUACAGUAUAAGAGUUACUGAUGGCGUCAUCGCCCUACUUGAACCAGAUGCCCUCACCAACCUCCAUGCAAUUGUAACAAUUCAAAAGAUACAAAAGGAUGCUUUGGAGAUCCAAAUUUUGGAACAUAAGUUAUAGGUGGGUGAGGUGCAAACUGGGAUAGGCUACUGUUCCCUGCU
ensembl:lncRNA